GGUUUCCUGGAGUGUGCGCCAGUCAUUACAAGUCCCUCGAGCCUAUGCGCAGUACCCAGGGGGCCAAAUGCUAGGCAGGCCCGUGUGCAUGUCCGCGCGACGGAAAGCCUGAAGGCUUGCCUGCGGCCACCCACCUUGAACCAAUAGGUUCAGGGCCAGAAUGACAGCGGCACUCUGGGGAACUC
rfam:Salinicola sp. MIT1003 NODE_4_length_223418_cov_101.323_ID_7, whole genome shotgun sequence.